GACGAAGGUGGCAAGCGUUGUUCGGAAUCACUGGGCUUAAGGCGCACGUAGGCGGCCCUUCAAGUACCUUGUGAAAUCCCCCGGCUCAACCGGGGAAUUGCUUGGUAGACUGCAGGGCUUGAGGCAGGUAGGGGCGAGUGGAACUCUUGGUGGAGCGGUGGAAUGCGUAGAUAUCAAGAGGAACGCCGGUGGUGAAGACGACUCGCUGGGCCUGUCCUGACGCUGAGGUGCGAAAGCCAGGGGAG
rnacentral:rRNA from 1 species